UGGUUGAUUUCCCUGCCAGUAGUCAUAUGCUUGUCUUAAAGAUUAAGCCAUGCAUGUCUAAGUAUAAGCUUUUAUAUGGUGAAACUGCGAAUGGCUCAUUACAACAGUUAUAGUUUAUUUGAUGUUAGUUUCUACAUGGAUAACCGUGCUAAUUGUAGGGCUAAUACAUGUUUGCUGUUUUUCAGUUGCGUUUAUUAGACCUAAAACCUCCCCGCUUUUGCGGUGUAUCGGUGAUUCAUAAUAAAUUAGCGAAUCGCAUGGCUUUUGCUGGCGAUGUAUCAUUCAAGUUUCUGACCUAUCAGCUUUGGACGGUAGGGUAUUGGCCUACCGGGGCAACGACGGGUAACGGGGAAUUAGGGUUCGAUUCCGGAGAGGGAGCCUGAGAAACGGCUACCACAUCUAAGGAAGGCAGCAGGCAA
rnacentral:rRNA from 1 species